rnacentral:rRNA from 1 species
AUUGAACGCUGGCGGCAGGCCUAACACAUGCAAGUCGAGCGGAGCGGCGGAGGGGUGCGUAAUGCUUAGGAAUCUGCCAGGUAGCGGGGGAGAACGUACAGAAACGGGCGCUAUUACCGCAUCCUAUCACAUGAGCAUAGGUCGGAAUAGCAUGUUGGUGGGGUAAUGGCCUACCAAGGCGACGAUCCGUAACUGGUCUGAGUGGAUGAUCAGUCACACUGGAACGGAGAAACGGUCCAGACUCCUACGGGAGGCAGCAGUGGGGAAUAUUGGACAAUGGGCGAAAGCCUGAUGCAGCCAUGCCGCGGGUGUGAAGAAGGUCUUCGGAUUGUAAAGCACUUUAAGUGGGGAGGCGGUACCAGCAGAAUAAGCACCGGCUAACUUCGUGCCAGCAGCCGCGGUAAUUC